CCUACGGGGGGCAGCAGUGAGGAAUAUUGGUCAAUGGGCGAGAGCCUGAACCAGCCAAGUCGCGUGAGGGAGUACUGCCCUAUGGGUUGUAAACCUCUUUUGUCGGGGAGCAAAAGCCGGACGUGUCCGGCUGUGAGAGUACCCGCAGAAAAAGCAUCGGCUAACUCCGUGCCAGCAGCCGCGGUAAUACGGAGGAUGCGAGCGUUAUCCGGAUUUAUUGGGGUUAAAGGGUGCGCAGGCGGAUUUUUAAGUCAGCGGUCAAAUCGUGGGGCUCAACCCCAUCCAGCCGUUGAAACUGGGGAUCUAGAGUGUGCGAGAGGUAUGCGGAAUGCGUGGUGUAGCGGUGAAAUGCAUAGAUAUCACGCAGAACCCCGAUUGCGAAGGCAGCAUACCGGUGCACAACUGACGCUCAGGCACGAAAGCGUGGGUAUCGAACAGGAUUAGAUACCCCAGUAGU
rnacentral:rRNA from 1 species